CGUGCUCCUUGUGGCUCUGUGUGGUUUUGGAUCCCUGUGUUUGUCGUUGGCCUGUUGAUGGACUUUUGUAUUUUGGACACUUUUCAAAGACUCAGAACCUGGACUUCAGUGGAACAGAAGAGUUUUUCAGCCUCUCUACUACGCCCCCACCCCAUCCCAGCUCAGUUAAGACUUAUAACUGGUUUAACAUUUGGUGGUUUACUUGGGAAAGUUGUUAUUAGAAUGCACAGUGAUUGAUUGAGAACAGCCAGAGUCGCACAAUUGCAACAGACCACUGUAUACAAAUACCUUAAAGUUGCAGCGUGACAAGUCAGAAUAACUUCACAAGGACGGCUGUUCACUCAGAAUGUUUCUGAAAGUUUACAAAUGUGUUGAUAAUGGUUAAUGCUGUUUUGCAAUGCACAAUGCAAAACUCAAUCUAACGCCUCAGACUGUGAGUGUCAGUGCAACGAAGCCAUGCAGGAAGACCUUAAUGCAGUGGUCACCAACCUCUUUUAGCUCGUGACCCCCCCUUUGACUUGAAAAAGCUAUAGCGAACCUACACAUCCAGCUUUUUGCUAAGAAUUCAUUUUUUUCCCCAUCAUGUAAAAGUUUUUUUUUACUGUGUUGCAAUUAAACAUUCAUCUUGCAGCACUUUCAGGCUUUUUGGUGUUUAUUAUUGUCGACAGAAGAAGAAAGGCUGGGAUGAUGUUUCUGCUCAAUGGAUGACAAUUUAGGGUUAGGGAAUUUUGAAAAAAAAUAAUCUUUGUAUCAUGAGUAGCUGAGAGCAGAGGUUUGAAACAUCCUGUCUUUUAAUCAAUGACUUCCUGACUGUCCUUUUGAUAUCCAGUCACCUGGGGGCAUCUCACUGUUUUACGAGGAGACUGUUUGACAUUAGGAGCUUAAGAUUGGAAAUGCCUGCCCUAAUGAACAUUAAAUGUGUUGGAAUAUAUGUUUAGUCAAUGGUAAACAAAGUGAUCAGAAAUAUGUGUUUCAAAAUUAAUAUGAUCCUAAAUAA